rnacentral:sRNA from 1 species
ACUGGGCAUGGUGGUGCAUGUCUGUAAUCCAAGUUACCGAGGAGGCUGAGACAGUAGAAUUACAAGUUGGAAGCCAGUCUUGAUAUCUUAGUGAGACCCUGUUUCAA